GUGGUGUUGAAUGACGGCUAUAGUUAUAGGUGAUGAAGGAAGGGCUGAGGUUAUAGUUAUUGGUGAUGAAGGGUUGUGAGGUUGGGUUUUGUUCAGUUCAUCUCCGGUGAACACUAUUGAAAACCGAAUUGACUCCGGUGAAGUGAACCAGAGAGAAAAUAAAAAAUAUAUAUAGAGAAAAAUAAAAAUAAAAAUAAAUAAAAGGACAUUUUUGGAAGGUAAAAGUGCAAAAUGGACAUAUUGUAAUUCUUUUAUGUUUGAGGGGAUGUUUUUGCCCAAUUACUGAAUUAUAAGGGUGUUUAUAGCACAAGUGGCACUAAAUCCUAAUAAAAAAUUCUUACCUAGACUCCGAAUGCUUAUUUUCUCGGAAACCAAACAGGGUCAUUCAUUCUCUUUCUUCGCAUUCGGCUUCAAGCGCGACUAUUGAUGCUCCGGAAAAUCUAUUCCCGAGUUAGCUACAGAAGAAAAUAGUUUAGAAGAAAGAAGGGCAGAAGAAAAUAGUUUCGAAGAUGGGUUUUUCGUGAUGGAAUCGCAAUCCACUGAAUCUUGAAAUAGAAAAAAACCCUAACCUUUCGUAUAUACCUAAUUCCAUUCAAGAAAAAAAAAAAAAAAAUCCUAAUUCCGGUGUUUACUGUUUCAGUUCUUUAUAAAAUGUCACUUAAACAAGAAAAAGAACCGAUCAAUGUCGUCUACAUUGACAGUAGCGACGACGACGACGAAGACGGCGUCGGAGUAGAAAGAAGAAAUAGCACAUCAUCAAACGAGCCAUCUAAGCAAAGCAGACCAGAGGUUCGCAGCACUGUAACAAACCCUCCAUCCGUAUCUGGCUAUAAGACUCUCGAGUCUCGAAGUUUCUGGAAAGCAGGGGGCUAUGAAAUUGGUCCCACUAAAUGGGCUCCCAAAUCAGGUGAGUUGGAACAUGCCCGUGUUCAUCCAAAGUUUUUGCAUUCCAAUGCAACUUCUCAUAAAUGGGCUUUCGGAGCAAUUGCUGAGCUCUUGGAUAAUGCCAUUGAUGAGAUUUGCAAUGGCGCAACUUUUGUGAAGGUUGAUAGAAUUUAUAAUGCAAGGGAUAACUCUCCUGCUUUACUUUUCCUAGACGAUGGGGGCGGUAUGGAUCCAGAAGGCAUUCGAAAAUGCAUGAGCUUGGGUUACUCAUCUAAGAAGUCCAACACAACAAUCGGACAAUAUGGUAAUGGAUUCAAGACAAGUACCAUGCGACUUGGUGCUGAUGUAAUCGUUUUCAGUCGUGCAUCUCAUUCAAGCCGAGCGACUCAAAGCAUUGGUCUUUUAUCCUAUACCUUUUUGCGUCGAACAGGCCAGGAUGAUGUGAUUGUUCCAAUGGUUGAUUUUGAUAUCUCUGACCAUUGGGCAGAACCAAUAAUUUAUAGUUCUCAGGAUGAUUGGUUUGCUAAUUUGAAAACCAUCCUUGAAUGGUCUCCCUUUGCAUCAAAAGAUGAGCUUCUGUCACAGUUUGAGGAUAUUGGUUCACAUGGAACAAAAAUAAUUGUAUACAAUCUAUGGCUGAAUGAUGAAGGCAUUUUCGAGUUGAAUUUCGAUGAUGAUGAAGAGGAUAUAAAGUUGAGAGAUGAAAGUAAUUGUGGUUCGUCCAGAGGGAAGAAGAAACUACUUGAAUUGCAGCAAUCUCACGUUUCCUACCGCCUCCGCUUUUCAUUAAGGGCAUAUGCUUCCAUUUUAUACCUCAGAAAAUUUAAAAAUUUCGAGAUUAUAUUGAGGGGGAAACCUGUUGAGCAGUUAAAUAUUGCAAAUGAGUUGAAAUACCCGAAUGUAAUCACGUACAGGCCACAGCUUGGGAUAGCAUCAAAAGAGGAGGUUUCUGUGGAAACAACUAUUGGAUUCAUUAAAGAAGCACCUGGUCUUGGAAUUUCUGGAUAUAACGUGUACCAUAAAAACCGCCUCAUCAGACCCUUCUGGAAAGUCACUAGCGACGGUUCUUCCAAGGGGAGCGGUGUUGUCGGAGUUCUUGAAGCAAAUUUCAUAGAACCAGCACAUGACAAGCAGGACUUUGAGAGAUCAUCUUUGUUCAUCCGGCUGGAAACAAAGCUGAAACAAAUGAUAAUGGGUUACUGGAAUGACCACUGCCACUUAAUAGGAUACCAGCGUCCAGGUACCAGCAAAAUACAAAAGGAAUGUGCUGUUCAACCUCCUGUUGAACUUGAUACAAAUGUACAGCAGUUUCCUAUUGGUCAAGCCAAAAAAAAUAAUGACCACGAGCAACCUAUCAUUGGUCUUGCUGCUAAUCUGGGACAAAAUCCAAGUGAUGCACCACCUGGAAUCCACCGCAGACCUAAUUUCUGUGAUGAUUCACCCCUUGUUCAGCCUGUCAUUGGGAUUGAAUCUGGGUCUGUUCGAGAAAUGGCACCUGUGGAUGGUUCAGGGUUCACAUCAAUUGGUCAGAUAUGUGACGAGAACAUCGAACUAUUCAUCAGUAGUGUAUUUCGAGAAUACCAAUGUAAGUGCAGUGUGUGUGAGUUGGGUGUAUUACGCAACAAAAGGAAGAAAAAGAAAAAAUAUAGCAUGGCUAAAUCAAAUGGCUGAAGAUUAUUGCUGCCUGAAGUUGUUCCUUAUUAGGAGUGAGUCACCUAGAUCCGAUUUAUCAUAGGUGCGAGGAACACAUUAAAAAAGAGAACGUGUUAAAACAGACGAUUGAAGAAUUAGAGAAUGAGUUGGAGGAAAUCAAAAGGAAGUGUUCUCAACUUUCGUCACACCUGGAAAGUAAGAGAAAGCAAAAGA